UAUUAAAAUAUUCAUCCAGUUAUACUAUUAAAAACUAACGUGACUGAUAAAAUAAUUAGGUAAUAAUAUGUGUUGUGCCACCUGUCCUUUUUGCUAAUGUAUAGGAAUUUGUUUUUAACAAUAGAAAUAAAUGAAUUUUUUUAAUG
rfam:Gossypium arboreum cultivar AKA8401 contig_16727_3, whole genome shotgun sequence.